UACGGAGGGUGCAAGCGUUAUCCGGAUUCACUGGGUUUAAAGGGUGCGUAGGAGGGCAGGUAAGUCAGUGGUGAAAUCUCCAAGCUUAACUUGGAAACUGCCGUUGAUACUAUCUGUCUUGAAUGUUGUGGAGGUGAGCGGAAUAUGUCAUGUAGCGGUGAAAUGCUUAGAUAUGACAUAGAACACCAAUUGCGAAGGCAGCUCACUACACAAUUAUUGACUCUGAGGCACGAAAGCGUGGGGAUCAAACAUG
rnacentral:rRNA from 1 species